rnacentral:rRNA from 1 species
AACGUAGGUGGCAAGCGUUAUCCGGAUUUACUGGGCGUAAAGCGCACGUAGGCGGCUUUUUAAGUCAGGGGUGAAAUCCUGGAGCUCAACUCCAGAACUGCCUUUGAUACUGAGAAGCUUGAGUCCGGGAGAGGUGAGUGGAACUGCGAGUGUAGAGGUGAAAUUCGUAGAUAUUCGCAAGAACACCAGUGGCGAAGGCGGCUUACUGGUCCGGUUCUGACGCUGAGGCGCGAAAGCGUGGGGAGCAAACAGG